rnacentral:rRNA from 1 species
GCAUAACGCGAAGAACCUUACCCCAGGCUUGACAUCCUGCUAAAGACCCCGAAAGGGGACUGUGCCUUCGGGCCGCAGUGACAGGUGAUGCAUGGCCGUCGUCAGCUCGUGUCGUGAGAUGUUUGGUUAAGUCCAUCAACGAGCGCAACCCUUAUAGUUAGUUGUAUUUCUCUAGCUAGACUGCCCUGGUAACAGGGAGGAAGGAGGGGAUGAUGUCAGGUCAGUAUUUCCCUUACGUCUGGGGCUACAAACACGCUACAAUGGCCGGUACAAAGGGCAGCCAACCCGCGAGGGGGAGCAAAUCCCAUCAAAGCCGGUCUCAGUUCGGAUAGCAGGCUGAAACUCGCCUGCUUGAAGCUGGAAUCGCUAGUAAUGGUAGGUCAGCACACUACCGUGAAUACGUUCCCGGGUCUUGUACACACCG